rnacentral:rRNA from 1 species
AUGAAGGCAGCAUUAAAAACUAUCCUCCCACAUACUCUGCAUAAGUUGUGUCGGUGGCAUAUCAUGAAGAAGUACAAAGACCACCUCGCCUUGCUGUAUAAGGCGCACGAGAAACUCAAGGAUGAACUCAAUGCGGUGCUGAACCACCCACUAAUGCCGUUAGAAUUUGAACGAGCAUGGAAGGACCUCAUUCAGAGAUACAACUUGCAAGACGAUGAAGUGAUGAAUUCGCUAUGGGAUGACAGGCACGAGUGGAUCUCGGCUUACUACAAGGAAAUUUUCUGUGCUCGGAUGACUUCCACACAGAGAAGCGAGAGCAUGAACCGCAUACUGAAGAAAAACUUUGUCAAAGAGAAGCAUGAUCUCCAUUUGUUUGCUCAGCAGGUGGACAAGUGCAUUCAGACCAAGAAGGCCGUCGAGCAUGCAAAGACAGUAGCAAACGAGUCAAAGGUAGAAACAACAACCCAGUUUGGGUUUGAAGUUCAGUUAUCAAAAGUGUAUACAAGGGCAGUGUUUGCAGAUUUCAAAGAAACACUCUACCGUAGCACUGCAUUCAGAGCAGAACGGUGCCCUGAGAACCCGACAAAGUAUCUCGUACACCACUACAACAGAUCAUAUGCAUUUGACUGGGCAAGGCAUAAUUUCCAAGUGAUCGCCGAUGAACAAAAAGGUGUCUACGAAUGUGAGUGCAAACUCUGGACACACACAGAGCUCUUUUGCGUCCAUGUGUUAUGCAUGCUUUCUCAUUUGAGAGUACUCAAGAUUCCUGAGGUGUACAUCAUGAAAAGAUACACCCGUAACGCAAGAUCAAAUGCAACGUUUGACAGAAGAGACUAUGAACAAACAACACCAGAUGGAACCUCGCUUUUUUGCCGUAGAAAAUUGCUGACAGAAACAUCAAUGGACCUUGCAAACAGGGCGACAAGGUCCGACGUUGGGUGCCAUAGAGCGUUGUUUGGUAUGAGGGCACUGAUCGAGGAAGUUGAUGUGCUCAACGAAGAAGAAGAAGAAGAAGAAGAAGCAAAACUAAAGUAA